rnacentral:rRNA from 1 species
GAUGAACGCUGGCGGCGUGCUUAACACAUGCAAGUCGAGCGAUGAAGUUUCCUUCGGGAAACGGAUUAGCGGCGGACGGGUGAGUAACACGUGGGUAACCUGCCUCAUAGAGUGGAAUAGCCUUCCGAAAGGAAGAUUAAUACCGCAUAACGUUGAAAGAUGGCAUCAUCAUUCAACCAAAGGAGCAAUCCGCUAUGAGAUGGACCCGCGGCGCAUUAGCUAGUUGGUGGGGUAACGGCCUACCAAGGCGACGAUGCGUAGCCGACCUGAGAGGGUGAUCGGCCACAUUGGGACUGAGACACGGCCCAGACUCCUACGGGAGGCAGCAGUGGGGAAUAUUGCACAAUGGGGGAAACCCUGAUGCAGCAACGCCGCGUGAGUGAUGAAGGUUUUCGGAUCGUAAAGCUCUGUCUUUGGGGAAGAUAAUGACGGUACUCAAGGAGGAAGCCACGGCUAACUACGUGCCAGCGGCCGCCGCAG